UAUUUCGACUUACUCUGAAAUUUGCAUAUUUUAUAAUCUUCUCAUUUUGCUUGAAUCUAUUGCAUUCUGUGACUCCAUCUACUAUUAUAACAUUUGCACACAAAUUUGAAGUAGAAGUUUGGAAAGUGAGUGAAGACUUUAGUCCCUGGCGCCAAAAGAUGAGGUCUAUGUUGUUACAACAAAGAUGUGUUGCUGCCCUUGAUGGAUCAUGGGAUACUGAAAUUAGUGCCUAUAGGAGAC
rnacentral:lncRNA from 1 species